rnacentral:rRNA from 1 species
UACAGAGGUCUCAAGCGUUGUUCGGAUUCAUUGGGCGUAAAGGGUGCGUAGGUGGCGCGGUAAGUCGGGUGUGAAAUUUCGGAGCUUAACUCCGAAACUGCAUUCGAUACUGCCGUGCUUGAGGACUGGAGAGGAGACUGGAAUUUACGGUGUAGCAGUGAAAUGCGUAGAUAUCGUAAGGAAGACCGGUGGCGAAGGCGGAUCUCUGGACAGUUACUGACACUGAGACGCGAAAGCGUGGGGAGCAAACAGG